UUUCCGUAGGUGAACCUGCGGAAGGAUCAUUAUCAAACAGCGGACUUCGGUCCUUGCUGCACCCUUGCUUUUGCGUACCGAUUUGUUUCCUCGGCGGGCUCGCCCGCCAAUGGGGACCUCGAAAACCUUUUGUAAUAAGCAGUAACAGUCUAUAAUACAAUCGUAUCAAAACUUUCAACAAUGGAUCUCUUGGUUCUGGCAUCGAUGAAGAACGCAGC
rnacentral:misc_RNA from 1 species